GGUCAGGACACAUUGAGGAUUGACAGAUAGUUAUACCAAACACGAGCUCGAACCAGAGUUCGUAUAUGAUUUACAAAAUCUAACGGCUCUUACAUGAUUAUGUGAUAGGUGGUGCAUGGCCGUUCUUAGUUCGUGGAGUGAUCUGUCUGCUUAAUUGCGUUUGGAUACAACAAUUUUGGAAUCGCGGCAAUGUUCAGCUUAAUGGCGUCGAUAAAAUUAACAUUAUGUUGACAAUUAGUCCAACUCGGUCCAGCUCGAUUCUUUCCAAUGCAACGAGCGUGAUCGCGACCCCUUGUUGAGCUUAUUACACAUAAGCUCUAUGUCGACGGAACGCUUUUGCGUUACGGAGACAAACUCGGGGGACAGCUUCAAUCAAUUUUCUCAAACGAGAGGAAGGUUGCGGCAAUAACAGGUCUGUGAUGCCCUCAGAUGUCCUGGGCCGCACACGUGCUACAUUGAUCAGCGCAGUGCGUCUUUUUUCCAAUGAAACAUCGGUCUGGCCGUUUUUAACAGUCCUGUACGGUUUUGCAAUGGCUACUGAUAGUGUCUGGUGUUCAACACACUGGGCAAUCUCUUGAAAAUACUGAU
rnacentral:rRNA from 1 species